UGUCCUUUAAAGAACUCAAAAAACAUAGAAGAAAAUGUGUCUUCCCUGGAAGAGCUCACAGCCUUCCUGAGGUGGUGAGAUGAAGAUGAGCAACAAUGCAAGAUGGCACAUACACAGAAGCUUGUUAAUUAGAAAAAAAAUUUUUUAAUGGGUUACAUGAUUUCUAAAAUAAAAUGUAAAGAGACCAACCACCUAUCAAAUGGAAAAAACCUUGGAGGGGGAGUGGCUCACAUUUCUCCUACAUUCCCAUCUCUAUGACAUCAAGAAAGAGCAUAGCUGGUUUAGUGCCAAUCAAUGUUUAACCCAGUGACAGGAAAGGAAACAUCUUUUACAGCGUCAGAGUCUGGAGUAUGUCCAGAUUCUUGGUAAAUGCUUAAACUGUGGGGAUGAUUAAACAUUUCAGUUAGGUUCAGAGCCAGGAAAAAACCAAGCAGCCUUGGACCGGCUUAUUAGUUCUAAGCUUUCGACAAUUUGCACAUCUUUUAAUAAAGUCCUUGGUACAUAGACCUUGUGCUAGAAGGACCUUCCCAAUAUCUACCCCAUCCCUUCCAGAAGAGGCUGGCUGUUCCCCAACACAGAGAUCUGGUAGCCACCCAACAUGCAGAGGCCCAGGGAGCAGUAAUGGUAUCAUACAAUCAACAAAUUUGUGCCGACAAUAUGACAGAAAUGAAGACAGCAAAGUCUCUGUCCUUAGUAGCAUAGUCUAAUAGGGAAGAUAAUCAAUAAGCAUUUUAUUAAAAGUCUACAAUGUGUCAGCCCUUGUACUAGAUACUGGGGAUAUAAAUACAAAAAAUGAAACCAUCUGCUCAAAAGAA